ACAGCAGUCUGCUGUGUUUUCCUCCUCCUGGGUCUGCCACUCCUCCUGUCUGUCUCACUUCACACCUGGCCCUCAUCUGCAAUCAUGCUCACCUGGUCUUCAUCUCCAAUCAACUCCCCUUCAUAAACCCUUGGAUUCCCUGCUGUCGGUGCCAGAUCGUACUACGCACUACAGUGUUAUCCGGAUCCCUCACUCCAGCUCGCCUGCCUCGCUCUCCCCCCAGCUACCUCAUCCACUACCUGCUCCCCCGCCUCGUUCAAUGAACCCUUUUUUCAUCAAUUCAACAUCGUCUCCGUCUGCUCUUGGGUUCAGCAUCGUUUAUCAUAUAACAUCAGGACUGGCUGCGACAUUUUUAUGCAUUUGAUUUUAAUGAAAGCCCAGCUGGAGAGAGCUUUUCUCUGCCUGCUCCUUCAAUUAAGACGAAGGACAGCACAGCGACUCAUCCGGUCUUUAUAUCUAACCCCUCCUCCACCGCAAACUAUACGUAUUUGGAUGAGAAUGCGCAGCCAAGACUGUUGGCAGAGGGAGUGCUGUUAUGUAAGGGAUAAUGUACAGAACGCCGGCCAUCAUUGGGAAAAUAAGCGAUCAGCAGAGAAAUAGUCCAUCAAAGUCGUUGACGUCGCUAGCCACCGGAUGUUAUGUAAAUUAAGCACAUAAGCUGCAUUACCCCCACAUAGCCACAAGGGAGCAGGAUCAAACAUAUAAGCUGUAAUUACUACACACAGCCAGAAGGGAGCAGGAUCAAACAUACAAGCUGUAAUAACUACUCCAGCCACCGAAGGCAGCAUCUUUAACACAUAUGAGGAAGGCGGAGCUAAUAUGUCACAUAGCCUACUCGAUACAAGCACAGAGCUGGAGCCAGUUGAGGUCAGAAACAUAUGGCAGCUAGUGGUGGAUUUAAUGAUUCGUUUACUUGAACCAGUUCACGUCAGUCAGUUCUCCAAGAGGAGUCGUUCGUUAGUUCAGUCCGUCCAGUUUCCGUUUCCGUUAGCGGUGAAUCGCAUCAUGAAAUACACCCAUUGCAUGGUUCUCAGCUGAGUCAGUCAGACUCAGUGCUACCGGAAACUCGACUGAACUGUUUAGGAUGGCAACAGGCAUAGUGCAGUGUGUGAAUGCACCCAGUAAAUUUCGGCAGGGAAUCGGACACCAAAUCCACUGCCCAAGAGACCUACUUUCUUUCCAUGUUCGGUAUGUGCAUUGCAGCGGGUGUAGUUCGAC